UAACACAUGCAAGUCGAACGGAGAUUAGAAGGAAGCUUGCGAAUUCUAAACUUAGUGGCGCACGGGUGAGUAACGCGUGGAUAACCUGCCUGGUAGACCGGGAUAACAGCUGGAAACGGCUGCUAAUACCGGAUACGCUUAAGGGAACGCAUGUUCUUUUAAGGAAAGCAAUCGUGCUAUCAGAUGGAUCCGCGUCCCAUUAGCUAGUUGGUGGUGUAAGGGACCACCAAGGCGACGAUGGGUAGCCGGCCUGAGAGGGCGACCGGCCACACUGGGACUGAGACACGGCCCAGACUCCUACGGGAGGCAGCAGUGGGGAAUCUUCCGCAAUGGGCGAAAGCCUGACGGAGCAACGCCGCGUGAGGGAAGAAGGCCUUCGGGUUGUAAACCUCUGUCAUCAAGGAAGAACAGAUGACGGUACUUGGAGAGGAAGCCCCGGCUAACUACGUGCCAGCAGUCGCGGUAAAACGUAGGGGGCGAGCGUUGUCCGGAAUUACUGGGCGUAAAGGGCGCGUAGGUGGUCCAUUAAGUUAGAGGUGAAAGAUCGGGGCUCAACCCCGAGAUUGCCUCUGAUACUGGUGGACUUGAGUGCAGGAGAGGGGAGCGGAAUUCCCAGUGUAGCGGUGAAAUGCGUAGAUAUUGGGAGGAACACCAGUGGCGAAGGC
rnacentral:rRNA from 1 species